UAUUCAAUUCUUUACUUCACAAUAAAAUAUUGGUUGAGUAAUAUUUUUUCUAUUGUACUUUUUAGUGUUUAUUUUUAUACCUGAAUUAAGAAAAAACAAAGGAGUACAUUAAAGCACAUUAUGUCUUAAACAUCAGAAGACUUGAACGUUCAGGGGGGGAAACAUUCAGAACAAAUUGAUUCUGAAAGUUAACAAAUUACAGCUUUUAAAAAUACUUAAAUACCUUCUUUGUUCUUGAAACAAUACUUUAAAGGCAAAAGGAAAUCCAGUCAGUGGAAUCAGUGUCUUCUCAUCCUUGCCAACUGUUUAUUGGUUUACAGAAUGAUACUAAUCCUAAUCUGCAGAGGCAGGCUUGGAUUUACAGAUGCAAGGCCUCUUUGUUCAUUAGAUUAUUGAGUAAGUGGCAAAGGGGUGUAUAUCUCUGACCUCAUACUGUGUACCUUAGAGCUCACAAGCUGGGGGGGGGGGCGAACUCUGGAAGUAGGAAACUAUGGAGGAAAUGUACUUUGCACACAAAGGGGGCACAAAACAACCCAUCUCCAGAACAGUUAUAGGAAUGUGAGCCCGUUGAUAACACUCUUCUGCCUAGAACCUUACAGGUUCCUCAUCUCAGGGCUCCAGACACUGAUCGCCAAACUGCAUCCCAACCACUGGAGAUGCAUGGAGAAAGCACUCUACACAGGUCACUUACUGGUACAGAAUCCAUCUCAUACCCCACUUCAUUCUGGCCAGGAGGGAAGUGCACCCCAUGACCAGCUGCUGUGACAAGGAUGUUUAUGGCUAUUCAUCUGUGGGAUUGUUAACAUGCUAGGCUCCUGUACCAUCACAGGAGGUGAACCCAUGGUGCUGGUGCCAAAAAGGACUCUGUACACACUACUUUGAUGUAUUUUGAGCUACUUUCCAAAGAGAAGGAGUCUUGCUGCAGUAACUGGUUGGCAACCCCACCCAUGUACUUUUCCCUUUCUAGAUCACCAUCUCAGAUGCUGUUCAGUAAAUGCUAUGUGGCUAUAAAGGACACGUGUAGUUUCUAUGCUGUUAGGGAGUAGUAGGCAUUCCAAAGGUAAAUGGAGCCAUAUUCUUCCUGGAGGGAUUUGAACUCCUAUCUCCUGCUUCACAACUAGAGAUGGUCAAAUCUAAUUCCUGGAUCCAGCACAGAUUCAAUUCCUGGAAUAGCCAGGCUACCUUCCUGGUGAGGUAAUGGGCCUCUGAAUAUGGGGCAUUAAAGUAACAAGGGAAGUGGCUCAGUGCCAAAAAACAAAUGGGUGGGCCUUCUUCCCUCAACUCCCUGAUAGUUACAAAGACAAAGUCGAGAGUUCUGUGUGUAAGCAAGAAACUGGAAGCAAGGCAGCAGGUUCGGAAGGCAGUCAGAGCCAUGCCUGAUUUCUGCAGGAAUUGAAAGCUGUGGCUAUGGAAGAAGCAAGACCCUCUUGGGGUAUUAAUGCUGUGAACCCCUCCAUCAUAAGCUCAGGUUGUGUAUAUGUGUAAAUAAACCAUCUAUCAUAAAGAUACCACUGUCUCUCUUGUCCAACAUCAUGAAGGAAACUGAAUGCUGGGUAAGCGCCUGGAACCCCUGGAAUCUCACACUGCUCAAAGAUUGUGGUGGUGUGUGAUACUGGUGUCAGUAGGAUUCAUGUUUCCUCAGGGGAGACCUGUGAGCAAGGUGUGCCCAAGUCAUGAUGGAGGGAGGAAUAGCAACACUCCUUGAACAGCUUGAGAGAAUGGAGCAACAGUGGAGCAAGCAGCUUGACCAAAUGAAGAAGUGACAAAGUCAGCAGCAGAGCCAGUGGCUUGAUAAAAUAGACCAGCUGCAAGCAGAGUGGGUGAGACGCCUCCUUGGAGGUGAGAGCCCUGGCUGAUGAGUUCUCCACUCCCUGGGAGCCUGCUGUAGAAGAAUGGGUGCAGGAGGAAAGGCCAGUGAAGGAGGAAAGUGCUCCAGAGGAGAGUGAACUGCAAGAUGGAGGUGAAGAGAUGCUGCUUAUGGAUCUCUUCAUUCCAUGUGUGCCAGCGGUGAUGCUAGAGGUGUGCAUGCAUGAGCAAGAAGAAACAGUGCCUGAAGAGAUGCCAGAAGAAGUGCAACAGGAGGAAUUGGGAGGUGUGUGAACAAUGCAGAAGGAUCAGCAAGUGCCUGAGGGUUGGCAGUAGAGAAAAAUGUGUGGGAAAGUUGGAGACGUGUGCGCAUGCACCAGAGUAGCAGCUGGUGCCUACUGAAUUGGACGAGAUAAAACCGUCCAAUGACAUUGUCCCUUGGGUGCCCCAAGAUAGCCUUGCAGGAUGGGGAACCAGUCCUUAUAAUGGGUGCAGUCCUUACAUAGGCCCCAGCAGUGAGGGUCACCCAGGUUCCAAUGAGUUUUGGGGGCAAGAGCCACUUGAAGGGUUGCCUGCCUUUGGGCCCAUGAAGUGUUUGAGAGAUGUUGGGAGUAAGCAGUGAGGGGAAUUCCUGGCCGCCAACUUGACUGAACUGGGCCAGCUGAUCCUGAAGGUGGUGCUUCCAGAUAAGGACUUGUGGCAGAACUAUGAUUUGCAGUUUGGCACAGGGGAUGAAGUGGACUUACCCAGAGGCAGCAAGAUGAAAAUAGAUGGAGGGGACCCCCAGUGUGUCAGUGGGAAAUCUGAUCAUGCAGUUGUGUCUUGAGGCCCAGUAUGCAACCACAGAGACUGGGACUGGAUUUUGAGUUUGGAGCCUCUGAUCUACAACCAAAGGGAAGACCAAAGACAAAUUGAAGAGUUCCACCUGUGAUUUGAGCCCCAAAGCAGCUGUCAAUCUACUUGAAAUGAGAACUUUCUGAAACUCCAAGGCAAAGAACCAUGCAAGCAACUGCAAGGGGUGGGGGCUUGUGCUUUUUGGGACUGUUUGCUUAUUUGCUGCAGGGAUCCUUCCUGCAAGGUUUGGCAUUAUGUCUGUGUGUGUGUUUUGAAAUGCUGUCAAUUUGUGCUUUUUACAUGCUUGUGUUUGAUAGGAACUUUUAUAUCAUUUGAGGAAUCAUUCUGAUAACUUUGUGAAAGCUGCUUUGUGCUGCAGUGGGACAAGGGAAAGCAUGAGCAAGGCCUUUGGGUAAUGUAUCUGUGGUACUGAGGCUUGCAUCCUAGCUUAAACAUGCUAGAAAUCCAUCAUCUUUUAGCAUGCCAAGGGUGGGGGACUGGGUAAGCUGCAGAACUGUGACUUAAAGCACCUCAGCUCUGCUUCCCUUUUAUCACCUGAAUCUUGAUUGCAGCAUCUGGGCUUAAUGAGGCAUGUGAUCCUCAUUUGUCCUGAGCCUACUCCAGCUGAGGAAUCACACGCCUCCUCCCAGAGCUAACAAACACCACCUGGCCAGCUAGAGUGCUGGGCUGUGGGCCCUUGCUUGCUUCAACCUCCUAGAGCAUACUUCCCACAGCUCCCUACACCUCAGAGCCCACUUUGUUUGUAGAGAUGGGGGGCCCUCUGGUAAUGGGUCCUGCUCUUUUGGUUCCUCUGCACUGACCCCCAUCCCUUCGCCGUCCUCUGUUGCCCUGUGAGCACUUUUUCCAUCCUCACCUUGCCCUGCUGUGUACUAGUUGUGGCUACAUCCUCAUCCCCAUUGUCCUGCCAGGUCAUGACAGGUAAGCACCUGGAACCCCUGGAAUCCUGCAAUGCUUGGAGAUUGGGGUGCCAUGCAACAAUAUAUUUUUACCUUCUCUCCUGGGCUGAGAACACCUAGGAUAGAGUGGCUGGUCUACCAGUAUGGUGGCAGUGUAUCCCUGGUCUAGGAGCAAGGUAAGUAUUGCACUGCUCUCUUAAGCAUCUUGCCUUCAUGCUAUAUUAUGUUGUACAAGGACCACCUCUCCUCAAACGAACCAACCCAGACCCUGCAACCAUCAUCUGAGUGCUUCCUCCAUGAGAAGCCUAGAGUGCGGUUCUAUUAGAAUGGGCAUUUCUGUG